CUCCGACCCUAAGCCCUUAUUUGGUUGGGGGUUAAGGGGUGGAAUAACCCCUUAACUCCCCAUUUUAUCCUCAAACACCCCAAAAAAUAGGUGGGGUUAGCUAACCCUACCUAACCCCACCUCAAAUAAAUUAUCCCGGAUUAGCUAAUUUCACCUAACCUCACCAAACUCCAACCAAACACUAUUUUCUAUUCAUAAUAAUCCACUAUCUUUCUUAUCACACAUACUCCAACCAAUCAUUAUCCUUCUUUAUCAAUCAUUAUCUUCUUAUCCCACCUACCCAACCAAACACUAUUUUUCAUUAUUCUAGACUAACUCCAACCCCCAACCAAACACAAAAAAUUUUAACCCCAUUUUAACUCUGAACUUAACUCCAUCCCUGGAAUAACUAUUUUUUUUUUAACCCCGAACCAAACGGAGGCUAAGAAGCACUGCAGUAGUGAAUAAU
rnacentral:lncRNA from 1 species